rnacentral:snoRNA from 1 species
ACUUUACUAUGAUUAAUUUGUUGCAUGAUCCGUGUUUCACCUGAAUCCUAGUGAUUAUACACAUGCUCUGAGUAAGAU